AACCUUUACACUGCACGCGAGUGCGAUAAGGGGACUCCAAGUGCGAGGGCAUAUAGUCCUCGCUUUUCACGACCGUAAGGUGGUCGUAGAAUAAGUGCUGGGCAAGACCGGUGCCAGCCGCCGCGGUAAUACCGGCAGCACGAGUGAUGACCGCUAUUAUUGGGCCUAAAGCGUCCGUAGCUGGCCGUGCAAGUCCAUCGGGAAAUCCGCGCGCUUAACGCGCGGGCGUCCGGUGGAAACUGCACGGCUUGGGACCGGAAGACCAGAGGGGUACGUCCGGGGUAGGAGUGAAAUCCCGUAAUCCUGGACGGACCACCGGUGGCGAAAGCGCCUCUGGAAGACGGAUCCGACGGUGAGGGACGAAAGCUCGGGUCACGAACCGGAUUAGAUACCCGGGUAGUCCGAGCUGUAAACGAUGUCUGCUAGGUGUGGCACAGGCUACGAGCCUGUGCUGUGCCGUAGGGAAGCCGUGAAGCAGACCGCCUGGGAAGUACGUCCGCAAGGAUGAAACUUAAAGGAAUUGGCGGGGGAGCAC
rnacentral:rRNA from 1 species